ACAUGCAAGUCGAACGGUAGCACAGAGAGCUUGCUCUCGGGUGACGAGUGGCGGACGGGUGAGUAAUGUCUGGGAAACUGCCUGAUGGAGGGGGAUAACUACUGGAAACGGUAGCUAAUACCGCAUAACGUCGCAAGACCAAAGAGGGGGACCUUCGGGCCUCUUGCCAUCAGAUGUGCCCAGAUGGGAUUAGCUAGUAGGUGGGGUAACGGCUCACCUAGGCGACGAUCCCUAGCUGGUCUGAGAGGAUGACCAGCCACACUGGAACUGAGACACGGUCCAGACUCCUACGGGAGGCAGCAGUGGGGAAUAUUGCACAAUGGGCGCAAGCCUGAUGCAGCCAUGCCGCGUGUAUGAAGAAGGCCUUCGGGUUGUAAAGUACUUUCAGCGGGGAGGAAGGCGAUAAGGUUAAUAACCUUGUCGAUUGACGUUACCCGCAGAAGAAGCACCGGCUAACUCCGUGCCAGCAGCCGCGGUAAUACGGAGGGUGCAAGCGUUAAUCGGAAUUACUGGGCGUAAAGCGCACGCAGGCGGUCUGUCAAGUCGGAUGUGAAAUCCCCGGGCUCAACCUGGGAACUGCAUUCGAAACUGGCAGGCUAGAGUCUUGUAGAGGGGGGUAGAAUUCCAGGUGUAGCGGUGAAAUGCGUAGAGAUCUGGAGGAAUACCGGUGGCGAAGGCGGCCCCCUGGACAAAGACUGACGCUCAUGUGCGAAAGCGUGUGGACCAAACAGGAUUACAUACCCUGGUAGUCCACGCCGUAGGCGAUGUCCACUUGGAGGUUGUGCCCUUGAGGCGUGGCUUCCGGAGCUAGCGCCUUAAGUCAACCCCCCGGGGAGUACAGGCCCAAGGUGAGACUCUAAUGAA
rnacentral:rRNA from 1 species